GACGAACGCUGGCGGCGUGCUUAACACAUGCAAGUCGAGCGGUAAGGCCCUUUCGGGGGUACGACGAGCGGCGAACGGGUGAGUAACACGUGGGUGACCUGCCCUUAGCUCUGGGAUAAGCCUGGGAAACUGGGUCUAAUACCGGAUAUGACUCCAUGACGCAUGUUGUGGGGUGGAAAGACCUUGUGCGGCUAGGGAUGGGCCCGCGGCCUAUCAGCUUGUUGGUGGGGUGAUGGCCUACCAAGGCGACGACGGGUAGCCGGCCU
rnacentral:rRNA from 1 species